CUUGCGGCUCUGUCAUCUUUUUCUAAAACAAAUAAGCAUGACAUUCUUGGUUCCCCCCCAAUCUUAAUGAAGUACACAUGCUAAGGUCUAAUCCAAUUCAGUUUAGUUAUGUUGAGCUGCAUGAGUGGUUGUAGUUAACUAUCACAAAUUCGAAAUUGAUAUCAACAUCAGUACCAAACAUAAAAUUUAUGGCAAGUAUAUGCUAUGAACAAUGCAACCUGUUUUUAUAAAUUCUGUGCAUUGUAUGGGGCUCACAUCUAGGAUAUCAUUAGUUCCAAUAACGCAGAGUUAAAAUCUCAACUGGCAUACUUGUUGAAUUAACACUUGUUAUCUUGGAUGCAUACCUUCUAGAUGACGGGAGCGUAGCACUUCUUGAGGAAUUUGUGGCAGAUCCAGAGCCUCUUGUCUCACAAAGCUGUCAAGUUGCUCUGAGUAUGCUGGAAUUUGAACGAUCGGGAAAAUCGUUUGAGUUCCUCUUCAUGCGCACGCCUCUUGUUGAAUAGAUUUAUCAAGUCACAUUUUCUUAUGGUGUCUUUCGUCAUGCCAAUACUUGAAAAAUAAGUUGAUGCACGAGAUGACCAGUGAAAAAAAAAAAAAAAGGAGAAACAAAAUUUGUAGGAUUUCUGACGGAGGAGUGAUACUUUUUCUCAAGUUAAAAUUUGCAAAUUAUAAUUGUUGAAGAUAGGAAAUGAAUAGUCUUGUAUGAACAUAUAUAAUAUACUAGGGUUUUGACCACUAAACAGUGUUUUUGCUCCUGAAUGUGGAUCUGUCACUCAUCAGAUUGCGGUUGACAUGUAAUUGAGAUUAUGUGCUCCUUCUAAGGUAUGGUGAUUCUGGGGUUGCAAAGCAGCUCAUGUUGAAAGAAUAUGUCUCUCUUGAGAGUCAUUUUCACUGAGGAGUGAGGACUGAGUUUAUCUUUCAUAUUUGCUAAUAUAUCUCUUCUUUGUUCA